AUUGAACGCUUGCGUCAUGCCUUACACAUGCAAGUCGAACGGCAGCACGGGAGCAAUCCUGGUGGCGAGUGGCGAACGGGUGAGUAAUGUAUCGGAACGUGCCCAGUCGUGGGGGAUAACGCAGCGAAAGCUGUGCUAAUACCGCAUACGAUCUAUGGAUGAAAGCGGGGGAGCGCAAGACCUCGCGCGAUUGGAGCGGUCGAUAUCAGAUAAGCUAGCUGGUUGGGUAAAAGAUUACCAAGGCGACGAGCUGUAGCUGGUCUGAGAGGCAGACAAGCCAGAGUGUGAGUGAGACGCGGUCCAGACUCCUAGGGGAGGCAGCAGUGGGGAAUUUUGGACAAUGGGCGAAAGCCUGAUCCAGCAAUGCCGCGUGCAGGAUGAAGGCCUUCGGGUUGUAAACUGCUUUUGUCCGGAGCGAAAAGGCUCUCUCUAAUACAGGGGGCUCAUGACGGUACCGUAAGAAUAAGCACCGGCUAACUACGUGCCAGCCGCCGCCGUAA
rnacentral:rRNA from 1 species